rnacentral:rRNA from 1 species
UAGGGAAUCUUCGGCAAUGGACGAAAGUCUGACCGAGCAACGCCGCGUGAGUGAAGAAGGUUUUCGGAUCGUAAAACUCUGUUGUUAGAGAAGUACAAGGACGUUAGUAACUGAACGUCCCCUGACGGUAUCUAACCAGAAAGCCACGGCUAACUACGUGCCAGCAGCCGCGGUAAUACGUAGGUGGCAAGCGUUGUCCGGAUUUAUUGGGCGUAAAGCGAGCGCAGGCGGUUUCUUAAGUCUGAUGUGAAAGCCCCCGGCUCAACCGGGGAGGGUCAUUGGAAACUGGGAGACUUGAGUGCAGAAGAGGAGAGUGGAAUUCCAUGUGUAGCGGUGAAAUGCGUAGAUAUAUGGAGGAACACCAGUGGCGAAGGCGGCUCUCUGGUCUGUAACUGACGCUGAGGCUCGAAAGCGUGGGGAGCAAACAGG